rnacentral:lncRNA from 10 species
ACCUGACCAGAAGCUGCACCCUGGGUCCGAGCUAGGGAAAGAGAAGCAGUCUGGGAGGGCUGCUGAUUGAGCACUUGCUACCUAGCAGGUGCUGUGCUCUACACACAUCACCUUUCUUCAUAACAACUGGUGAGACUGGUGUAUUUCCCAAUUUACCAGAGAGCAAACUGACACCCAAGAGAGGCUGGAUGUCUUGUUCAAUGCCAAACAGGUCUAAAAAAAUAAACUCUACGCUUUAAUUUCAUGCUCACCUCCACAUUUUUGAGUAUCUGUGUCUUGAUUUACAUAUUUUAUAUUGCUUAUCUAACAGUGCCGUCUCGUUAGGUUCAGUCACUGGUUCCUUGCUUUGUCUGUGUGGAGAGGUCAUGGUUCCCUGUUUACUGUUGUUUCUUGUGGAUGACAUCUAUUUAUUUCAGUCUUCUAUGUCUGACCUAGAUGGUGGUUUAUGCCCACGUUUGCCUCAGCUCUAGUAACCUACUGUUCAGAGUGUGCCAGUCCUGAAUAUGAGAGGUUCCAAAGGGGAUAGCAUGGUAGUGUGGGAAGGCUGGCUAGCAGCUCAUGCCCAGGAAACCUGCAGAAUGUACCUCCUACAGUGUGGUGCUGCUGAACAGCCACUCUGGUUUGGCAUCUCCUUUGGCUAAGUUACAGAUCA